rnacentral:rRNA from 1 species
ACUAGGGGCCAACGCCAGUCGGUGGAUGGCUCGGCUCAGGCGCCGAAGAAGGGCGCGGCAAGCAGCGAAAUGCCCGGGGGAGGCGCACGCAGCCUAAGAUCCCGGGGUCCCCGAAUGGGAAUCCCCAUCGCGUACUUGAUCUGCGAGGGUCAAGUACGGGAACUCCCCCAACGGAAGCAUCUUAGUAGGGGAAGGAGGAGAAAUCAAAUCGAGAUCUCCUCAGUAGGGGCGACCGAAAGGGAGAUAGCCCAAACCAAAUCCCGGCGACAAGCCGUAGGAGAUGUGGUGUUAGCCCCGGGUUAUAUCCCUGGCAACGUAGGGUCGAAGUCCUCUGGAAUGAGGCACCAUAGAGGGUGAUAGUCCCGUAGGCUACUGCGUUGUGGGAUGACUCGAGGGCAGAGUAGCAUCCUCUGGUUUGAGGGUGCGAAGAUGGGGGACACGUGCCUCCAAGGCUAAAUACGUCCUGAGACCGAUAGCGAACUAAGUACUGUGAAGGAAAGCUGAAAAGCAUCCCGGAAGGGAGGUGAAAAGCGCCUGAAACCGACUGGUUACACAGGGUAGGGCACUCAAGGAGUGAGAUCCUCCAAAGGAAGGGGACGCGAGUCCCUUGUACGAGGAGGACGACCGGUGUCCUACCUUUCGUCUUGAAACACGGGCCGGGGAGGUCCUGCUAGUGGCGAGCCUAAGAGGGUCAACCUCGGAGGCAUAGGGAAACCGAGAGCUCGAAGCGCAAGCGAGGAGCUGGGUCCGACAGGGCCUGAAGUCACUGGCAGGAAACUAGAAACCGGGCGAUCUAGACCAGAUCAGGUCGAAGCCGGGGGAAACCUCGGUGGAGGACCGAAUAGGGGUUCUGACGUGCAAUUCGUUCCCUUGAGUCUGGUCUAGGGGCAAAAGGCCAAUCUAGCCCGGUGAUAUCUAGUUCCUCCCGAAAUGCGUCUUAGCGCAGCCUCUCCGGAGGUAGAUCGCGGGGUAGAGUUACUGAUUGGGAACUUAGUCCGAAAGGUCUGGGUUCCCAGUCAAACUCCGAACCUACGGUCGCCUUAGAAGGAGGGAGUGGGCCACACGGCGUAAGGUUGGGUGGCAAGAGGGAAACAGCCCAGAGCCGGGUUAAGGCCCCCAAGUGCCGGCUAAGUGCACCAAAGGCAUCCUCAGCCACAGACAGCGGAAGGUGGGCCCAGCAGCAGCCAUCCUCUAAGGAGUGCGUAACAGCUCACCCGCCGAGGCUGAGGGUCCUGCAGACGUGUCGGGGCUAAGCCGGCCGCCGAGACCCGGCCGGUGGGUCCUCAGGACUCACUUGGUAGGGAGGCGCUCCGGUAGGGCAGAAGGUGGGCCGUGAGGUCCACUGGACCUGCCGGAGGUGCAGAUCCCGGCGGCAGUAAUAGCGAAGAGGGGUGAGAAUCCCCUCCGCCGGAAGGGCAAGGGUUUCACGGCAAUGGUCUUCAGCCGUGAGUGAGCCGGUCCUAAGGCAACGCCUAACUGGUAGUUGUCGAAAGGGAAACAGGUUAAUAUUCCUGUGCCACGCCGGUAGGCGCGGUAACGCAAGCCCUUCUCCCGACGGGUUAGGGUAGGAGGACGCUGGUAACCCAGCGCCAAAUGCAUAAGCCCCCGGAGAGCCGUAAUGGUGAGAAAGGGGUGAAAGCAUGAUGGGUCUGACGUAUGUCGGAUUCCUCUGAUCCCCAGCUCCAAUGAAAAGGGAGAGGGAUCGAUCCGGCGUGUCCGUACCCAGAACCGACACUGGUGCCCCUAGGUGAGAAGCCUAAGGCGUCUGGGGGGUAACGGAGGCUAGGGAACUCGGCAAAUUAGCCCCGUAACUUCGGGAUAAGGGGUGCCUACCUUAGUACUGACCGUGCUAAGGUAGGUCGCAGUAACAAGGGGGAUCUGACUGUUUAAUAAAAACAUAGGUUUCCGCAAGCCCGAAAGGGUGUGAACGGAAGCUAAAUCCUGGCCACUGGCGGCAGGUUAAACCUGGGUCCAACCGGGCGAAGCCCCGCUGAAGGCCGGGGGUAACUCUGACCCUCUCAAGGUAGCCAAAUGCCUUGCCGGGCAAGUUCCGGCGCGCAUGAAUGGAUCAACGAGAUCCCCACUGUCCCAGCCUCUGGCCCCAUGAACGCCCAGAGUAGGUUCACAGUCCUGCAACCCCCAACACCGAGAGAAGACCCCGUAGAGUUUCACUGUAGCCUGGCACUGUCUUCCCGGACGUUCCCGCGUAGCGUAGGUAGGAGCGUCGAAGCCACCCUUUCGGGGGUGGUGGAGCCGAAAGUGAAACACUACCCUCGAACGUUCGGAGGACUAACCUUCCCUCAAGGGAGGGAACAGUGUCAGGUGGACAGUUCGGCUGGGGCGGCACUCCCGCGAAAAGAUAACACGGGAGCCCAAAGGUCAGCUCAGGUGGUACAGAACGCCACCGUAGAGUGCAAGGGCAAAAGCUGGCCUGACGAGAUCCUUCAACGCACGGGAUCUCGGCGCGAAAGCGCGGCCUAGCGAACGCUCAUGCCCCCACACGUGGGGGCUGGGCAUGUCAGAAAAAUUACCUCGGGGAUAACAGGGUCGUCGCGGGCGAGAGCUCCCAUCGACCCCGCGGUUUGCUACAUCGAUGUCGGCUCUUCCCACCCUGGAGGUGCAGCUGCCUCCAAGGGUAGGGCUGCCCGCCCGUUAAAGGGGAACGUGAGCUGGGUUUAGACCGUCGCGAGACAGGUCGGACUCUAAGGGUUGGGGGUGCGAAGCGGCUGAGGGAAAGGAACUCCUAGUACGAGAGGAACAGAGUUCCGGAGCCUCUAGUCUACCGGUUGUCCGACAGGGCAGUGCCGGGCAGCCACGCUCUGAGGGAUAAACACUGAAAGCAUCUAAGUGUGAAGCCCUCCCCGAAAAGAGCCGCUUUGUCGGCGCCCGCAAGGGUGUCGGCGGGCCUUCCCCUAGAAGAGGGGGUUGAUAGGGACGGGGUGUAAGUCCCGAGGGAAACCGAGGGAUGAGCCCGCGUCUACUAAUCGGGCUAUCCCUAGUCA